CUGAGCAAUAGCGACAAUAUUUUUCUAAAAUCUAAAUUUAAUUUCGUUUUGGUGUCAUAAAUUUGUCAAUAAAAUGUCCUAAAUCGUGUCACGUUUAGGAUGCUAAGCUUAUGACUCUUUUAGGACAAGUUCUUUUUACACGAGGUAUCUCUAAUAUUUA